GCAGGGUUUUGGCGCAUUUUAUUUCUUUGGUUUUAACUGAGAUCUAGAGUCAUUUCCAUAGAGCAUUUCUAUGUUUGAAGUAACCAGUUUCAUAGUUAUCACGGAUGUGAGUUGAGAGAUACAGAGGUUGCCAGUGAGAACACUCAGUUCCAUAAACUUUGUGUAGAAUCAUCAGAUUCAACUGUAAUGAACUGGAGCCAUUGUAAUAUAUGUGAAUCGUAUAAACAGUAAAAACUCGAAAGCACUAGUCUUUGUUAGUCAACACCGCACACUAAUCGGACAAUUGCUACGAACCACGGCUUGGUCUUGCCUCAUAAUAUAUUGACUAUUAUAGACCUUCACAAAGGUCAGGGGUAAAG